rnacentral:rRNA from 1 species
AGGUGCGAUCAUAUCAACACUAAUGCAUCAGAUCUCAUCAGAACUCCGCAGUUAUGCAUGCUUAAACAAGAGUAGUACUAGGAUGGGUGAUCUCAUGAAAAAUCCUUGUGUUGCACCAC